UCCCUAAUGAUGCUGGACUGAGCCGGAGCCCGAGCUUAAACUGUUGCUCUUGAGAUCUUGAAAUCUGAGGGG
rnacentral:snoRNA from 1 species